CCCAGCAACUCUUUUCUCAGGAAUGUGAUAUGAAGUACAUAGCAUAAGGUGCCUGUGCAUACGAUUUCUCCUCUCUUAUUUAUCUUCCCACAACUGAGCUUUGUCCUUGUCCUGCAGGAAGAUUCUGUUAAGGGGCUGAGUUCAAGCUACGGACCUGACAUCAGUGAACAGUGAAGAGGGAAGAGACGGUACAAUCCACUCUUGGCAGCCAGCACCAGCUAGCUCCAGUACACGACCAGCUGUAGGAUGCACAGAAAAUAUUCUCCAUGACCUGUAGCCCCAUAAUGUUGCACAAGAAAAUUCAACAUUAAAGAAACUUGCCUAGAAAAA